rnacentral:tRNA from 1 species
UAGAGGGUGGUGUAGUGGAAGCACGAGAAGUUUUGAUCUUCUAGGUAUGGGUUCGAGUCCCCUCUUUCUAG